UACGUAGGGGGCAAGCGUUGUCCGGAAUCAUUGGGCGUAAAGCGCGUGUAGGCGGCCCGGUAAGUCCGCUGUGAAAGUCCAGGGCUCAACCCCUGGGAUGCCGGUGGAUACUGUCGGGCUCGAGUCCGGAAGAGGCGAGUGGAAUUCCUGGUGUAGCGGUGAAAUGCGCAGAUAAUCAGGAGGAACACCGAUGGCGAAGGCAGCUCGCUGGGACGUGACUGACGCUGAGACGCGAAAGCGUGGGGAGCAAACAGG
rnacentral:rRNA from 1 species